GAUGAACGCUGGCGGCGUGCCUAAUACAUGCAAGUCGAACGCAUUGUGGUUGAAAUGAUAUGAAGAACUUGUUCAGAUUUGAUUUUCAACAUUGCAAUGAGUGGCGAACGGGUGAGUAACACGUGGGAAACCUACCUCUUAGCAGGGGAUAACAUUUGGAAACAAAUGCUAAUACCGUAUAAUAAUUAAAACCGCAUGGUUUUAGUUUAAAAGAUGGUCUUGCUAUCACUAAGAGAUGGUCCCGCGGUGUAUUAGUUAGUUGGUGAGGUAAUGGCUCACCAAGACAAUGAUACAUAGCCGAGUUGAGAGACUGACCGGCCACAAUGGGACUGAGACACGGCCCAUACUCCUACGGGAGGCAGCAGUAGGGAAUCUUCCACAAUGGACGAAAGUCUGAUGGAGCAACGCCGCGUGUGUGAUGAAGGGUUUCGGCUCGUAAAACACUGUUGUAAGAGAAGAAUGACAUUGAGAGUAACUGUUCAAUGUGUGACGGUAUCUU
rnacentral:rRNA from 1 species